UAGGCGGUCAGUGGGAAGUGGCGUCACGAGCAGGCGCCGGGCACGGGGCCAGGAACACAGCAAGAGCUUCCUAAGUGUUGAUUGGCUGAGGCAGUGGAAUGAGCGAACCCCGAAGCCCCUGCAGUUUAGAGAGCAGUGUGCUCCAGCGGGUCCAGAUGUUUGGGGACCCCCUUCGCUUUCACCUAAGUCUGAUGCCCAGGGUGGCAACCCCAGGGACAGACAGACCCGCCUGCGCAUCUAGGGGCCCAGGUCACUGGUGAACCUCCAGGAAGACACCUAUGGUCACUCAGAGGAAUUUGGCCUGAUACUCUGUAUAGGAAAGACCCAAGAGAUGAAGAGUAUCCAAAGACCAAGUUUCCACCUGCAUCUGGGGGAACGCUCACUAGAGCCCAGAGGGUGCCAUUAACACCCCUCCCCACCCCACUUUGGC